GGUCACAUCACGUUGAGACACCGGUUCCCGUAGGAUCACUAAAGUUAAACAACGUCGAGCCUGGUUAGUACCUUGAUGGGUGACGGUUUGGAAAUACCAGGUGCUGUAAG